AUGUCACCUCCAGGCCACGGUGCAGAGAAGCACAAAGUCUUCUCUGGGUCUCCACUGGCCGGGCGACAGCCCCUGCGAUGCUCCUGGCAUUGCUCCGCUGCCACCCCGGGACAAAAGGUGAUGUGCUGGCUGCUUCAGGAGCAGGGGUCUGACUGGUGGCCCCCACAGCCUGGUCCGGCGGCCCGUGAGAGCUCUGAGCCAGCCUGGGCGUGUUGGAGCGGGGCUGCGCAUCGAGGUCGAGAGAGGUGGGGACAGCGUCUGCCCCGACACACGGCCAGGACCUCACUCCAGGGGCCCCCCACCAGCUCACGGCCGAGGGACACCCUCAGACCAGGAGCCUGUUUAGGGAAGAUCUUCCCCUUGGCAGAGAGAACAAGACCUCUCCUUGCUCAGCUGAUCCCAAGCCAAGGCGAGAGUCCUUGCUCACUCUUUAAAAAUUCAAGAAAAAGGUCUUUGCACCGGAAACCCAUGGGGUUUUUGCUGUCCCAUGGCCCAGGCAGCCUGGCUCCAGGGGUCAAGGGCAGCCCUUGCACCGCUCCAUCCCACCGCGAGAGGAGAGCGGUGACGGUCGGCAGCGAGACCUGCGGCAGGAUUGCGUCGGGCCUGGGGGGGGAAACCCCCUCGGCCGGGUACAAUGACUGUCUAUUCUGCUGAUCACAAGCCUAAUCCUCUUUGGUUUUUAAUUGGCAUUUGGGCUAAGCUGAUUUAAACCUCUUCACCUUGUUGGGUCCCCCCCCCCCCCCCCCCCUUUUUUUUUUUUUUUUUUUUUUUUUUUUUUUUUUUUGACCAAAUAACAACGCUGCCAUCACCAAGUCCCCGGCACAAUGACAUCUUUGUGCGAGGGCGAGAGGAGAGGAAAGGGGAAGGGAGGGGGAGAAGGGAAAUGUGCUGAACCCACUCGGAAACAAUGCGGAGUUUGUGAUUCAGACUUGACCACUGGCAAAGGACCCGCUUCAGCUGCGCCUUGUUAAUAAACGCACUGUCCCUUCCCAGCCCCUCUCCCCCUGCCCAUCACCUCCGCCUCAGGCCAGCUGCCCACCGGCGCGGGCUCUACCUGCCGUCCCCAUCCCUUGAUGGAUGCAGCAUCCCCGCGCCCUGCGCAGCGGUACCCACAUCCCACCCCAGUCUCACCAGCGAGCUGCCCCCGGGGCGAUGCGCAGCGGCGGGACGGGGACGUCCCGGUGUCCUCUCCACCCCAUCCGUCCCCAAACCGGUGCUGGUGUCCCCACGCCGAAGCCCAGUGCUGGCCGGCAGCCCCGAGCAGCCUGGAUGGAUGCUGGUGCAAAUCUCAAUCUACGUUGUGCUCCAGGCCAGGGUCUGCUGGCAGGAGGAGGAAGAGGAGGAGGAGGAUGGUGCGUGCAGGAUCAGCCAUGGUGAGCGGCUUCUGCUGAGGGUCCCACAAGACAGGUCCUGCUGGCAGCUCCUUCUCGACCAGGCUCUCAUGGCUUUUGGAGGUGUUUUAUUUUUUUUUUUUCAUAUAGCCCCCACUCCUGGGUUCACGUUAUAGGGAGCUGAUCUGAGUUAAAAACAAAAGCAACAGAAACACCUUUAUUACCCUUUUUCCAUUUAAGAGACAAAAAAACCCCAAAGAACCCCAAAAGGAGCCCUUUGUUCCUGAGGGUGGGAAAGACACUUCUCAUGGGGUUUGAGGUUAACAAACCUGCGAUAAGAGAAAUUAAAUAAAGAACAAAAUCCACAGUUGUUCGAGACUUUGGGCCGAGUGGAUGAUGAGGAAGGUGCUGGC
ensembl:lncRNA